rnacentral:snoRNA from 1 species
UUUCAUGCUGGGAACUGUUCUGCUCCUCAUUCUUUUGGGAGUAAGACUAUCUGUGGCAUAUAAAAUAAAGGAGUUUUCAGGGCUGCUAGCCAUGUAGUGAAGAUUAAGUGAUAGUCUAUUUCUCCUACAGAA